GUGCAAGGCAAUCAGGUUCCAAGAGAGCAGCCAGAUGGGGCUGAUGUGCUCUGCUUAGCAAACAUUAAAGUCAGGGAAUGGGAGUCUCCAGGGAACCCCCCCCCCCCCAGAGCUCUGCAUGUGUGCAACUCUCCUCCUCCAUCACUGAAGAAAAAAGCUUCUUGUCUGAGCAGUCAGCAUCUGGUUCUCCUUCCACCUGGGAGCAACUUAGUCUCCCUGUUGCCAUGCCAACCAUUGAGGUCAGAAAAUUCAGGUUCUCUCUCUCUCUCUUCUGCCAAAAGGCCACCAUUUAGGCUCUUAAUCAGAAACUGGCAGCUGCCUCGCAGUGGAGAGCAAUGUAAGGAGCAGCAGUACCUAGAUGUAUCAGGUCUCCAGGGCCAUUUGCAUUUUAACAAGAGGCUUCAGGAGAUGCAAAACAGUAAUUCAAAGAAACAUAUCUCUAAUAACUGAAGAGGAAUCACUUAGGAAUUCCCUCAAAUAAAUCAUCUGGGGAAAAAGUUCCAGAUGCCGCCUUGCUGCACCAAACACAAAACCACUGUGGUCUGCUCCUGUCACAGUGGCCUAUAAGUGACCACCCCAAGCGGCCAGUCAGUCUGACACUGGAGACAGGGAGGCGUCAUGUCAGUUUAAAGGACUGGAAGGGGAUAAAUGCCACAGUCUCAACCGGCUCCUGCCAAGUUCAGAAUACGCCAAGCUUUUUGUAGGGCCUUUGAAUGAUUUGAAUGAGUGUUCACCCCUGCCAACAGCAAUACAAAAAUUGCCCCUCUCAGAAGCAACACUUUGCUAUUUGCACAAGGCAUUCUCUCUCCCAGGAAGGCAUUUCCACUUGAUCAUAUGCCAGCCACUGACAAUCUUAUGAUUGCCUUACAUACACUUGGGUCCAUAUUACUUGGUUGUUUCCCAUCAUGGGCUCCUCACAUGGAAUUUGCCCACUUUUCUCCUGGAGAGAAUGUGUGUUUCAGUCCGUAUGUGCUGAAAGUCCAUUCAUGCUGUUCAAGGAAAACUGCUUGAGUUUCAGUUGAUACUCAGAGAAGGAAAUAAAUAAUUACAUCUUUAUUUUAAACA
rnacentral:lncRNA from 12 species